GGUGAACGCUGGCGGUAUGCCUAACACAUGCAAGUCGAACGGCAGCACAGUAAGAUCUUGCUCUUACUGUUGGCGACGGGCGGACGGGUGACGCAUACAUAGCAAUCUUCUUUUUCGUGGGUGAUAACGUAGGGCCACUGAUGAUACUAGCGCAUACUUCGUACCGCUUAAAUCAGAAGAGCUUGACACUCUUGCUGUCUCUAUUAGACGAUGUCGCAUUAGCUAGUUGGCUGGGUAAAGGCACACCAAGGCGACGAUACGUAGCUGGUCUGAGAGGAUGAUCAGCCACACUGGAACUGAGACACGGUCCAGACUCCUACGGGAGGCAGCAGUGGGGAAUAUUGGACAAUGGGCGCAAGCCUGAUCCAGCCAUACCGCGUGGGUGAAGAAGGCCUUCGGAUUGUAAAGCCCUUUUGUUGGGAAAGAAAAGCAGCAGGUUAAUACCCCGCUGUUCUGACGGUACCCAAAGAAUAAGCACCGGCUAACUUCGUG
rnacentral:rRNA from 1 species